rnacentral:tRNA from 1 species
GAAGGUGUAGCUCAGUGGUAGAGCACAUGCUUAGCAUGCAUGAGGUUCUGGGUUCAAUCCCCACUACCUCCA